GAUGAACGCUGGCGGCGUGCCUAAUACAUGCAAGUAGAACGCUGAAGGAGGAGCUUGCUCUUCUGGAUGAGUUGCGAACGGGUGAGUAACGCGUAGGUAACCUGCCUGGUAGCGGGGGAUAACUAUUGGAAACGAUAGCUAAUACCGCAUGACAACAGUUAUUGCAUGAUAACUGUUUAAAAGGGGCAACUGCUCCACUACCAGAUGGACCUGCGUUGUAUUAGCUAGUUGGUGAGGUAACGGCUCACCAAGGCGACGAUACAUAGCCGACCUGAGAGGGUGAUCGGCCACACUGGGACUGAGACACGGCCCAGACUCCUACAGGAGGCAGCAGUAGGGAAUCUUCGGCAAUGGACGGAAGUCUGACCGAGCAACGCCGCGUGAGUGAAGAAGGUUUUCGGAUCGUAAAGCUCUGUUGUAAGAGAAGAACGAGUGUGAGAGUGGAAAGUUCACACUGUGACGGUAUCUUACCAGAAAGGGACGGCUAACUACGUG
rnacentral:rRNA from 1 species